UACUGUCACAGAAGCCCUCAGAGACCCAGCCAUUCCACCACUAUGAAGUCCUUCUUUCCAGUUCUCCUCAUGCUGGCUGUCUUCUCCUCCCGAGGCCUCUCCCAAGUAGUCCUGACCCAGUCAGAUCCAGUCCUGAAGAAACCGGGAGAAGCCCAUAAACUGACUGGUGCUGUGACUGGAUUCAAUGUCAACAGCUACACUAUGGCUUGGAUCAGACAGAAACCUGGGGAAGGCCUGGAAUGGCUUGUAAGCUAUUACAGCUCUGGUAGCAACUAUUAUUCCCCAACCAUCCAAGGACGAUUUACUGCCUCCAAAGACAGUUCCAACUUCUACCUAUCUUGCAGGGAGAGCGGAAACUCCCCUUGA